rnacentral:rRNA from 1 species
GUGUUUAACUGAUCUGUGUUGUCCGCGGUAUUCGGGGGGUGCAAAGGUAGCAUGUAUUUGUCUUUUAAUUGAAGGCUUGUAUGAAUGGUUGGACGAGAAAAUUACUUUCUUUAUAAUAAAAUUAUUAAUUUUAUUUUUUAGUUAAAAAGCUAAAAUUUUGUUGUAGGACGAGAAGACCCUAUAGAACUUUAUAUUUAUUUAAAUAUUAAUGUUUUUGGAUUAAUAAUAUGUUGUAUUUUUAUAAAUAUUUUGUUGGGGCGACAAGAAAAUUUAUUUAACUUUUUUUUAUUAAUUUCAUUAAUUAAUGUAUAAAUGAUCCUUUAUUAUGGAUAAUUAGAAUAAGUUACCUUAGGGAUAACAGCGUAAUUUUUUUGGAGAGUUCUUAUCGAUAAAAAAGUUUGCGACCUCGAUGUUGAAUUAAGAUUAGAUAAGGGGGUAGAAUUUCUUAUUUCUAGGUC